CCCUUAGAUGUUCUGGGCCGCACGCGCGCUACACUGACGAAGUCAGCGAGCAUGUCCUACGCCGAUAGGUGCGGGGAAUCUUGUGAAACUUCGUCGUGCUGGGGAUUGAUUAUUGAAAUUAUUGAUCAUCAACGAGGAAUUCCUAGUAAGCGCAAGUCAGCAGCUUGCGUUGAUUACGUCCCUGCCCUUUGUACACGCCGCCCGUCGCUACUACCGAUUGAAUGGUUUAGUGAGAUCUUCGGAUUGGUGCCACCGAGUCCAGCAAUGGACACGGUGAAUAUCGAAAAGUCGAUCAAACUUGAUCAUUUAGAGGAAGUAAAAGUCGUAACA
rnacentral:rRNA from 1 species